GAUGAAGAACGUAGCGAAAUGCGAUAAGUAAUGUGAAUUGCAGAAUUCAGUGAAUCAUCGAAUCUUUGAACGCACAUUGCGCCCCCCAGUAUUCUGGCGGGCAUGCCUGUUCGAGCGUCAUUUCAACCAUCAAGCCCUGCUUGUGUUGGGGUCCUGCGGCUGCCCGCAGGCCCUGAAAACCAGUGGCGGGCUCGCUAGUCACACCGAGCGCAGUAGCACAUCUCGCUCAGGGCGUGCGGCGGGCUCCAGCCGUUAAAGCACCCACCUUUCGCAAGGCUGACCUCGGAUCAGGUAGGAAUACCCGCUGAACUUAAGCAUAUCAAUAAGCGGAGGA
rnacentral:misc_RNA from 1 species